rnacentral:rRNA from 1 species
AUUGAACGCUGGCGGCAUGCCUUACACAUGCAAGUCGAACGGUAACAGGCCUUCGGAUGCUGACGAGUGGCGAACGGGUGAGUAAUACAUCGGAACGUGCCUAGUAGUGGGGGAUAACUACUCGAAAGAGUGGCUAAUACCGCAUGAGAUCUACGGAUGAAAGCAGGGGAUCGCAAGACCUUGUGCUACUAGAGCGGCCGGUGGCAGAUUAGGUAGUUGGUGGGAUAAAAGCUUACCAAGCCGACGAUCUGUAGCUGGUCUGAGAGGACGAUCAGCCACACGGCGACUGAGACACGGCCCAGACUCCUACGGGAGGCAGCGGUGGGGAAUUUUGGACAAUGGGCGCAAGCCUGAUCCAGCAAUGCCGCGUGCAGGAUGAAGGCCUUCGGGUUGUAAACUGCUUUUGUACGGAACGAAAAGCCUUGGGUUAAUACCCUGGGGUCAUGACGGUACCGUAAGAAUAAGCACCGGCUAACUACGUGCCAGCAGCCGCCGUAAAAC